GACGAACGCUGGCGGCGCGCCUAACACAUGCAAGUCGAACGAGCGAGAGAGAGCUUGCUUUCUCGAGCGAGUGGCGAACGGGUGAGUAACGCGUGAGGAACCUGCCUCAAAGAGGGGGACAACAGUUGGAAACGACUGCUAAUACCGCAUAAGCCCACGGCUCGGCAUCGAGCAGGGGGAAAAGGAGCAAUCCGCUUUGAGAUGGCCUCGCGUCCGAUUAGCUAGUUGGUGGGGUAACGGCCCACCAAGGCGACGAUCGGUAGCCGGACUGAGAGGUUGAACGGCCACAGUGGGACUGAGACACGGCCCAGACUCCUACGGGAGGCAGCAGUGGGGAAUAUUGCACAAUGGGGGAAACCCUGAUGCAGCGACGCCGCGUGGAGGAAGAAGGUCUUCGGAUUGUAAACUCCUGUUGUUGGGGAAGAUAAUGACGGUACCCAACAAGGAAGUGACGGCUAACUACGUG
rnacentral:rRNA from 1 species